UACCAAGCCCUAAUKAUUCUGUACGGGGUUAGAAAAAAGCAAAGACCCSGGARAAUGAAMCUGASGAACAAGCCUUCCAGCCCCUWSGGGSGGCAGCAGGCGSGAAACCUUCCCAAAUGGAGGAAGUCGKGACGGGGGGGAUCCAAAGAGCCAUGCUUAMCGGGAKGGCUUUUUYUUCGGGUAAAAAGCUUUGGGAUUAAGAASYUGGGCAAGACCCGGUGCCCAGCCGCCSCGGUAACACCGGCAGCUUCUAGUGGUAACAGUUUUUAAUUGGGCCUAAAAGCGUUCGUAGCCGGUUUGAUAAGUCASUGGUGAAAUCCUGUAGCUUAACUGUGGRAAAUUGCUGGUGAUACUGUUGAACUUGAGGUCGGGAGAGGUWARCGGUACUCCCAGGGUAGAGGUGAAAUUCUGUAAUCYUGGAGGGACCACCUGUGGCGAAGGCGGCUAACWGGAACGAACCUGACGGUGAGGGACGAAARCUAGGGGC
rnacentral:rRNA from 1 species